rnacentral:rRNA from 1 species
AACGAACGCUGGCGGCAUGCCUAACACAUGCAAGUCGAACGAGACCUUCGGGUCUAGUGGCGCACGGGUGCGUCACGCGUGGGAACCUGCACUUAGGUUCGGAAUAACUCCCCGAAAGGGGUGCUAAUACCGGAUAAUGUCUUCGGACCAAAGAUUUAUCGCCUUUGGAUGGGCACGCGUUGGAUUAGCUCGUUGGUAGGGUAAAAGCCUACCAAGGCGACGAUCAAUAGCUGGUCUGAGAGGAUGAUCAGCCACACUGGGACUGAGACACGGCCCAGACUCCUACGGGAGGCAGCAGUGGGGAAUAUUGGACAAUGGGCGAAAGCCUGAUCCUGCAAGGCCGCGUGAGUGAUGAAGGCCUUAGGGUUGUAAAGCGCUUUUACCCGGGAUGAUAAUGACAGUACCGGGAGAAUAAGCUCCGGCUAACUCCGUG